rnacentral:rRNA from 1 species
GACGAACGCUGGCGGCGUGCCUAAUACAUGCAAGUAGAACGCAGUUGCGCACGGGUGAGUAACGCGUAGGUAACUGCCUCAUAGCGGGGGGUUACUUACUGAAACGAUAGCUAAUACCGCAUACUGUGAGAUGGACCUGCGUUGUAUUAGGUAGUUGGUGAGGUAAAGGCUCACCAAGGCGACGAUACACAGCCGACUUUGGAGGGUGGUCGGCCAACACGGGAUCGGGAACCGGCCCCGAAUCCCACCGGAAGGAGCCAUAGGGAAUCUUCGGAAAUGGACGGAAGUCUGGCCGCGCACCGCCGGGGGAGUGAAGAAGGGUUUUGGAUCGUAAAACUAUGUUCUUCGAGAAGCGGUACCUACCCAGAAAGGGACGGCUAACUACGUGCCAGCAGCCGCGGUAAUUC